rnacentral:rRNA from 1 species
GCUUAACACAUGCAAGUCGAGCGGCGUAGCAAUACGUCAGCGGCAGACGGGUGAGUAACGCGUGGGAACAUACCUUUUGGUUCGGAACAACCCAGGGAAACUUGGGCUAAUACCGGAUAAGCCCUUACGGGGAAAGAUUUAUCGCCGAAAGAUUGGCCCGCGUCUGAUUAGCUAGUUGGUGAGGUAAUGGCUCACCAAGGCGACGAUCAGUAGCUGGUCUGAGAGGAUGAUCAGCCACAUUGGGACUGAGACACGGCCCAAACUCCUACGGGAGGCAGCAGUGGGGAAUAUUGGACAAUGGGCGCAAGCCUGAUCCAGCCAUGCCGCGUGAGUGAUGAAGGCCCUAGGGUUGUAAAGCUCUUUUGUGCGGGAAGAUAAUGACGGUACCGCAAGAACAAGCCCCGGCUAACUUCGUGCCAGCAGCCGCGGUAAUACGAAGGGGGCUAGCGUUGCUCGGAAUCACUGGGCGUAAAGGGUGCGUAGGCGGGUCUUUAAGUCAGGGGUGAAAUCCUGGAGCUCAACUCCAGAACUGCCUUUGAUACUGAAGAUCU